rnacentral:rRNA from 1 species
GACGAACGCUGGCGGCGUGCUUAACACAUGCAAGUCGAACGCUGAAGCUCAGCUUUUGUUGGGUGGAUGAGUGGCGAACGGGUGAGUAACACGUGAGUAACCUGCCCUCUUCUUUGGGAUAACGCCCGGAAACGGGUGCUAAUACUGGAUAUCCACUGAUCUUCGCAUGGGGGCUGGUGGAAAGGGUUGUUCUGGUGGGGGAUGGGCUCGCGGCCUAUCAGCUUGUUGGUGGGGUGAUGGCCUACCAAGGCUUUGACGGGUAGACGGCCUGAGAGGGUGACCGGUAACAUUGGGACUGAGAUACGGCCCAGACUCCUACGGGAGGGAGCAGUGGGGAAUAAUGCACAAUGGGCGAAAGCCUGAUGCAGCGACGCCGCGUGAGGGAUGGAGGCCUUCGGGUUGUAAACCUCUUUCGCUCAUGGUCAAGCCGCGACGUGGGUUGUGGUGAGGGUAGUGGGUAAAGAAGCGCCGGCUAACUACGUG